UACUUGCUUCAGCAUGUCAUAUACUAAAAUUGGAAUGAGAUAGAGAGAAAAUUAGUAUGGUCCCUGCACAAGGAUGACACAAAAAUUUGUGAAGAGUUCCAUAUUUAA
rnacentral:snRNA from 1 species